GCAUUUUUCGCCGCCAUUGUGGUCGAUGCAUUUGCUAGAGAUUGUUUGCCGCCAUUCCGGCAAUCGUCCCUGUUAGCGACUGUUGUGCAGAUAUUGCUUUUGGUCUUAGAACAUUCUGGUUUUGAAUGCGCGGACAAAUUUGACGAAGGUAGUUUGACUCAGUAAUUGUUGAUGGAAGUGGUCUAUCAGUGAGCAUCCUGGCCGGGAUGUUGAAGAAAUAGAACUGAAAGGAUGUCAGUGAUCGAUCAUGCUCUAGGGAAAUGUGUAUUUCGGAGUAUGUCGUCUUAAAACCCUGGCUUUGAAGAUAAUCAUUGCGAAACAACAAGUGUCCUGAAGCUGGCCACACCUCAAAAGGCUGCCGAAUCUAUUCAGUGAAUUGACGGAAAAUGGAAAGCUGCAUGAGCAUUACACUCCAGAAGUUGUGACAUGUGAUGAAAAGGAACUGUUUAAGGGCAUCGUGUGUGGGAAAAGCUUCAACAAUUUUGAUAAAUUCGUCCUUCAGGUUACAGGAGAAGAUGUACCUCAAUACAUGACACCAUUCGAAGAAGCCUGCCUGCGCCAUCUACUACAUCAAAGCAUUAAAAAUUCUGGCUACAUAUAACCAACACCUGUUCAGAAAGCUUCAGUUGCAGUAAUUUUGAAACCUGGAUGUCCUCAUACUGACUUGAUUCAAAGGGUCGGUGUAAACUGGGUAAGUUGAAGUAAAAGUAAUUUUGAGUGGGCACGCUGGUAAUUACGACCACUAAAAGGUCCAAUUGCAUCUAAGGCGGCGUACUUGGUACCGGUUUUGAAAAUUGUUAGAACAAGGUGUUGCUGCUGCGUCUCAUGCCAUGGAGCAAAAGCCAGAAGUUGUAAUUGUCGCACCCACUCGUGAAUUGGCCAUUCAAAUUCACCACAAGACGUGUAAAUUCUCCUACAGUAAAAACUUACCAUUGUUAACCCGUAAGACAACCAGCCAUCACCUUGUUUUAAUUUGCUUUUUGCAUAUGUGUCUUCCUGUGCGAGGGAAAACUAAAAAGUUGUGUCUUAAAUUGAAUUCGCCGCCCAUUUUGAAAUAUGUGGCAACGUUGGUUGAGUUUUGUGAACCGCCAUCAGUCGCCAUUUGCUAGUUCAUUGUCGUGUGUGAAACAUGUGGUGUGCAUCUGACGGGCGAAAUAUUGGACACAUCAGGCAGAAUUGGUAAAGUAAUACUUCAGUGAAUGUUUCGUCAAGAAAACAUUGUUAACCAAAGACAUUGAUUCUAAUUCUAACAAAAACAUUGUUUCACAAGAAACUUUAAUUUGAGAAUA